rnacentral:rRNA from 1 species
AUGGCCGGCAGCGACGAGGUCAACCGCAACGCGUGCAAGACGGUGGUGCCGCUCCACACAUGGGUGCUCAUCUCCAACUUCAAGGUGUCGUACCACAUGCUCCGCCGCCCCGACGGCACCUUCGAGCGCGACCUCGCCGAGUACAUGGACCGCCGGGUGCCCGCCAACCCGAAGCCGGUCGAGGGCGUCUCCUCCUUCGACCACGUCAUCGACCCGUCCGUCGGCCUCGAGGCGCGCAUCUACCGCGCCGUCGCCGGCAACGCCGCGGCCGCCGAGGGCGCCGCCGCGCUCACCCUGCCCAUCCUCGAGUUCCUCGGCGGGGCGCCGUCCCCGGACCCGCUCCCGGUGAUCAUCUUCUUCCACGGCGGCAGCUUCGCGCACUCGGCGUCCAGCACCACCAUCUACGACAACCUCUGCCGCCAGUUCGUGAAGCUGAGCAAGGGCGUGGUGGUGUCCGUCAACUACCGGCGCGCCCCGGAGCACCGGUACCCGUGCGCGUACGACGACGGGUGGGCCGCGCUCAAGUGGGCCCAAGCCCAGCCGUUCCUGCGGAGCGGCGAGGGCGCGCGGCUCCGCGUGUUCCUCGCCGGCGACAGCUCCGGCGGCAACAUCGCGCACCACGUGGCCGUUCGCGCCGCGGAGGAGGGGAUCAAGAUACACGGCAACAUCCUGCUCAACGCCAUGUUCGGCGGCAACGAGCGCACCGAGUCGGAGCGGCGCCUGGACGGCAAGUACUUCGUCACGCUCCAGGACAGGGACUGGUACUGGAAGGCGUACCUGCCGGAGGACGCGGACCGGGACCACCCGGCGUGCAACCCGUUCGGGCCGAACGGGCGGCGGCUCAAGGGCCUGCCCUUCGCCAAGAGCCUCAUCAUCGUGUCGGGGCUGGACCUCACCUGCGACCGGCAGCUGGGCUACGCCGAGGGCCUCCGGGAGGACGGCCACGACGUGAAGCUGGUGCACCGCGAGAAGGCCACCAUCGGCUUCUACCUGCUGUCCAACACGGACCACUACCACGAGGUGAUGGAGGAGAUCGCCGAGUUCGUCCGAGCUAACCUCCUGUAG